GCCAUUUCCCUCCUUACACCCCUCCCAAUGGGUGACAGUUGGAAAGUAACUAGAGGCAAAGGAUACGGAUUAUGCAAAGAAGGAAGGAGAGUCUGAGAAGAAGGGCUUUUUUGGAAGGAGGGUUGCCAGGCCUGGAACAAGCACAUGCCUAGAGGAAAAUCCCAUACUACAUACAAGGAGGAAGCCCAGGCCAGCAGUCAAUGAAUACUCAGAUCAAGUGUCUGUCUGGAAAGCUGGCAGUCUUCCAGAAAUACAAUUAGGGCCCAUUCCAGUGGAACAGAAGUGCUACUUUGGGGGUGGACUGAAACAAGUUGCUGGGCUUCCAUUGGCCAUUGCCACUUGCUUGUCGUUGUGAGGAGGGGCCGUGCCUCCACAGGCCCAUACCUGUAACCUGACGAUACUGUUGUGAGCGGGAAUGGAGGAAGUGCAUGGAAGCCCCUCAGCACGAUGCAUAGUGAACAGACAAGCUGUGAACCUUGGGAGUUAUCACCAUGUGUGAUGAUGCUGGUGAAGAAAGCCUGCACUGAGGAGGCUGUCAGCCUGGGUUUGAAUCCCCUCAUUUGGAAUAUAAUCUUGGCAAAGUC
rnacentral:lncRNA from 1 species